ACUUAAAUUGAAGAGUUUGAUCAUGGCUCAGAUUGAACGCUGGCGGCAGGCCUAACACAUGCAAGUCGAGCGGUAGCACAGAGAGCUUGCUCUCGGGUGACGAGCGGCGGACGGGUGAGUAAUGUCUGGGAAACUGCCUGAUGGAGGGGGAUAACUACUGGAAACGGUAGCUAAUACCGCAUAACGUCGCAAGACCAAAGUGGGGGACCUUCGGGCCUCAUGCCAUCAGAUGUGCCCAGAUGGGAUUAGCUAGUAGGUGGGGUAACGGCUCACCUAGGCGACGAUCCCUAGCUGGUCUGAGAGGAUGACCAGCCACACUGGAACUGAGACACGGUCCAGACUCCUACGGGAGGCAGCAGUGGGGAAUAUUGCACAAUGGGCGCAAGCCUGAUGCAGCCAUGCCGCGUGUGUGAAGAAGGCCUUCGGGUUGUAAAGCACUUUCAGCGGGGAGGAAGGCGUUAAGGUUAAUAACCUUGUCGAUUGACGUUACCCGCAGAAGAAGCACCGGCUAACUCCGUGCCAGCAGCCGCGGUAAUACGGAGGGUGCAAGCGUUAAUCGGAAUUACUGGGCGUAAAGCGCACGCAGGCGGUCUGUCAAGUCGGAUGUGAAAUCCCCGGGCUCAACCUGGGAACUGCAUUCGAAACUGGCAGGCUAGAGUCUUGUAGAGGGGGGUAGAAUUCCAGGUGUAGCGGUGAAAUGCGUAGAGAUCUGGAGGAAUACCGGUGGCGAAGGCGGCCCCCUGGACAAAGACUGACGCUCAGGUGCGAAAGCGUGGGGAGCAAACAGGAUUAGAUACCCUGGUAGUCCACGCCGUAAACGAUGUCGAUUUGGAGGUUGUGCCCUUGAGGCGUGGCUUCCGGAGCUAACGCGUUAAAUCGACCGCCUGGGGAGUACGGCCGCAAGGUUAAAACUCAAAUGAAUUGACGGGGGCCCGCACAAGCGGUGGAGCAUGUGGUUUAAUUCGAUGCAACGCGAAGAACCUUACCUGGUCUUGACAUCCACAGAACUUUCCAGAGAUGGAUUGGUGCCUUCGGGAACUGUGAGACAGGUGCUGCAUGGCUGUCGUCAGCUCGUGUUGUGAAAUGUUGGGUUAAGUCCCGCAACGAGCGCAACCCUUAUCCUUUGUUGCCAGCGGU
rnacentral:rRNA from 1 species